GUGCUCGCUUCGGCAGCACCUAUACUAAAAUUGGAACGAUACAGAGAAGAUUAGCAUGGCCCCUGUGCAGGGAUGAUGAAAAUAAUGAUUAUAUACCUAAAUAA
ensembl:snRNA U6 U6 spliceosomal RNA